ACCUGCGGGGCGGCCCCGGCGCGGCGAGCGGGCGGCCGAGGGCGCGGAGUGGCGAGCCCGGCAGCCCGCCCGGCGUGCCCCCGGCCAUGGAGCAGGACAAGUACCUGCCCGAGCUGAUGGCCGAGAAAGACAGCCUGGAUCCCUGCUUUGUUCACGCCAUGCGCCUCCUGGAAGACGAAAUGGAAAAAUUUCAGGGUUCAGAAGGCAAGAAGGAAGAUGAAGAAAAGAAAUAUCUUGAUGUUAUCAGCAACAAAAACAUAAAGCUGUCAGAGAGAGUUCUGAUCCCUGUCAAGCAAUAUCCAAAGUUCAAUUUUGUUGGGAAAUUGCUCGGACCAAGAGGAAACUCUUUAAAGAGGUUACAAGAAGAAACAGGUGCAAAAAUGUCCAUCCUAGGAAAAGGAUCCAUGAGGGAUAAAGCUAAGGAGGAAGAGCUAAGGAAAAGUGGAGAAGCCAAAUACGCACACUUGAGUGAUGAGCUCCAUGUAUUAAUUGAAGUGUUUGCUCCACCUGGGGAGGCGUAUUCUCGUAUGAGUCAUGCCUUGGAAGAAAUAAAAAAAUUCCUGGUUCCUGAUUAUAAUGAUGAAAUUCGCCAGGAGCAGCUGAGAGAGCUUUCAUAUUUGAAUGGUUCUGAGGAUUCAUCACGUGGACGGGGCAUUCGAGGAAGAGGGAUCCGUGUGCCACCUGCAGCUCCUUCAAGGGGCCGUGGGGGUGCCGUUCCCCCGCCGCUGCCUGGACGAGGUGCCCAAGCGCCCCGAGGAGCGCCGGUGACGCGCGGAGCGCUCCCUGUGCCGCCCGUGGCCAGGGGCGUCCCCACGCCUCGAGCCAGGGGCGCCCCGUCCGUGCCGGGGUACAGACCGCCCCCGCCGCCCGCGCACGAGCCCUACGAGGACUAUGGAUACGAUGAUGGAUAUGGGGGUGAAUAUGAUGAUCCAAGCUAUGAGGCAUAUGAUAAUAGUUAUGCCACCCAAACACAAAGUGUGCCUGAAUAUUACGACUAUGGUCACGGAACAAGUGAAGAGGCUUAUGACAGCUACGCACAAGAAGAAUGGGCCACGACCCGUUCCAGCCUAAAGGCACCACCUCCAAGGUCAGCCAGAGGGGGAUACAGGGAACACCCCUAUGGUAGAUAUUGAAGGUCCUCCUCAUCUGUGACCUCAUCUCAAAGACAAUUAAUAGCCUGUGGUCUCCACAUAAACAGCAACAAGACAAGGACUCACAGGCACUGGACAGCUAAGCAGCAGAUCUGCUGGGAAGUGGUCAGAUUUUUGGAACCUUAGGGAAGUACUGUACCUUUUGAAUGGUGUUCAGGGAAUUGAGAGUGCUCAACAUCAUUUGCAAUAAAUCGCUUGCUUCUGAAGGACAGCCUCAGGUUGGAACUCUCCACAGCCCUGAGUUCUGGACCUACCAUUACCACCCUCUCUAGGAUAUGCCACCACUCAGAUUUAUAGUGAUCUUCCAGUCUAUAAGAUUUUUGAGACAGCGAGCUAGUACUAAUGAAAACUCAAGAAGUAUUGAAAAUGCAUAUAUCACUCUAAUAUUUCAAUAUUAGCUGGAAUUACAGCAGAAGUGAGCCUCCUUUAUUUUUCUAAAAGCAUCCCCAACGGCUGGGUUAUGUCACUGUAGUCAUGCACUAUAAUGAUGGCCUACAAAACAGGUAAGUAAAUGAGGAGGUAAAUUGUGUAAGUAUGUGCAUUUUUCUUAAGAUAGGUAGAAUUAAAUGGUGGAGAAUACUCAUCCUGAAGCUAAUAAACAUAAGACACUAUGGACCAUACCAGCAAUAAUGAAAGCUCUCAGUUACCCCCAGUCCUUACUGGUGAGUUCUGUAGGUACAUUUGUAACCCUGCUGCAGCAUCUAAGUUUGGGUGUCUAAUCUCUCCUUAUAACACUGAUACAGAGAAUGUUUAGCUAGGGCUGAAUCUAGCCUUUAGGCUGUGUCCUGAACUCUCUUUUCUCUCAAAGUCAAAUAUUAUUUUUAGCUUUUAUUGACCUGACCAUCUGACUCCACUCAGCAUUUUCUUCUGGUCAAAUGCACUGCUCCCCGUCUAGGUCUAAACUGACUUAUCAAAGAAGUUGUGUUCUUCAGGCAUGAAAUGGGUUUUUAUUACUGAGGUCCACAGUGCAGAUCAUUGGAAGUUAUGUAAUAAUAUGAAGGGACAUAUAAUUGAAAGGCUGUCAGAAGAUAAAAGGGUAUCCAGCUUCCCAGAGCAUUCACAGCUCCUGAAGCUGGUUGACAUUGAAGGAGCGAUUCAGUGCUCAGUGCCAGCCCCUCUGGUAGCAGCUCUGCUCCUCCUCACUGCUGCCUGUUGAAAUAUCAGAGUCUGCAGCAGAGAAUUUAAUACAGGAGUUUUCCAUUAAAGACAUUAGCUGCUGCAUUUCACAGUUACUUCCAACUCAACUCACCUGCUGGGGACACAGUACUUUGUCCUUGAGAGGCAGGGCUGCCUUCAUCCUGUUCUUCCCACUGGAGCAGCGAGAAGUAGCGUGUGAGUACCUACUGGGCAAUGCACAACAAGUGAGUAACUGCAAUACAGGCAUAUAUUAUUCUUGGAUUUGUUUUAAAUGUCUAGCAAUAAUCCAUGUGAAGUAAAAGUAAGUCUUUAACUAUCCUGACAUUCUCCUAAAUGUAAAAAACCAUAAGAGAUGCCUGUAUUUACUACAAAUAAUAAAACUGAAGCAUUACGCUAAUCAAAUUCAAAUCAGUUCAACUGCAUAAUUUUCAGUGAAUAGGUGCUUAUAAAACACAGAAUGAACUCCAGAAGGGAAGGUUCAUUGCUUCCUAAUCAAAAGCAGUCAGCUUUAAACACCAGCCAGUCAGGUGAUAGGUUUGUCAUUUCUCAGCUGUGCUCUUGGAGGGAAUUU